rnacentral:rRNA from 1 species
CGUGUAGGCGGCCUCUUAAGUCUGAUGUGAAAGCCCGGGGCUUACCCCCGGAAGUGCAUUGGAGACUGGGAGGCUCGAGUACCGGAGAGGAGGGUGGAAUUCCUGGUGUAGCGGUGAAAUGCGUAGAUAUCAGGAGGAACACCGGUGGCGGAAGGCGGCCCUCUGGACGGAUACUGACGCUGAGACCCGAAAGCGUGGGGAGCAAACAGGAUUAGAUACCCUGGUAGUCCACGCUGUAAACGAUGGGCACUAGGUGUUCGGGGUAUUGACCCCCUGAGUGCCGCAGCUAACGCAUUAAGUGCCCCGCCUGGGGACUACGGCCGCAAGGUUAAA